GUGGUGACUGGCUACAGAAUAAAAACGGAUACAUUACAACAAUACACAGAGUUAAGAAAGUACAUUUCCUUCCACUGUGAUAUGGUUUGCCAUCUCUAUUUUUCUCUAAACAAAUCACGGUUGGUUACAUGUUCUGAAUUUACUAAGAAUUUUGGUAUUACAUUUUUUUAUCCAAAUCAAAUAAACUGAAUCAGAAAAAAAAAUCACACGAUCCUUAGUCGAAU
rnacentral:lncRNA from 1 species